rnacentral:rRNA from 1 species
UACAGAGGCCACGAGCGUUAGGCGGAAUCACUGGGCUUAAAGCGCGUGUAGGCGGAUGCCUAAGUACCCGUGUGAAAUCCCACCGCUCAACGGUGGAACGGCCGGGUAUACUGGGCGUCUUGAGGUGCUCAGGGGCGAGCGGAACGGACGGUGGAGCGGUGAAAUGCGUAGAUAUCGGAAGGAACGCCGGUGGCGAAAGCGGCGUGCUGGACCUCUUCUGACGCUGAGGCGCGGAAAGCUAGGGGAGCAAACGGG